CUGUUGAGUGUGUUUCCAAUUGAAAAAAGGCCCUGAAUAACCACAUUUUAAGUUUUAAUGCCCAUAAUAAGCGUCUCUAAUGGUCAGUAGGGGCCAUUUUUCGGGUAUUUGGUUAUUUGGGGCUUUUUUAGCCUAAAAUUGGUUAUUUGGGGCCCAAACCCAAUAUGUCAUACUCUUACUUUUCAUCUAUUGAGGUACUAAAACUUAAUCUUCAAGAACUCAACAAUCUUUCACAUCAUCUAAUCUUCAGUACUGCCUCUCCAUGCACAAGUUUGACAUCUACAAAUUUAAAAAGAAGUGAAAAACAGAGUUUAACUAGAAUUGGUGGGGAGCUGCGCGAACGCAAGCUCCCCCUAGCACAAAUUAUGACGUAGGCUCCACCACUUGGGUAGACCUUAGGCGAGAGCCCUUCCGGAGUGCAAUGGAAGCCUCUAACCUAGGCCAUGGCCCUUCUUGAUCAGCCAUCGACCCCGUCCAGGUAAGUGCCUUUCACGUUGCAUCUUCCUCCAGUCUUAUAGCUCCUCUCCAUCCCUUGCUCUUUCUUAUUCUCGAUGUGGGACGAACAUUAAAUAAUGUAGCAUUACGUCACCAACAUUAUAAAUUGAUAUUACCAUUAUAAAUUGAUAUUUGGGAUAUAUCCGGAUCCGGAUGCAAUAUUUGAGACCUUAUUUCUCAAAAUUAUCAGUUUUGCUCGCGAUUUUGAACCGGAAAUGAUCCAAUUUUUUCGAGUAAAUCUGGGGUCAAUUUUUUAGAGUGAAUCUUGGGGUGUCAGAUUCGAAAUCCAAACCUGAAAUUUUGGUCCGGUAAUUUUGAUAAUUUCGAGUAACAGGUCGUGUUCAUGUCGAAUAGAUUUCGAGUUAAACUAAAACUACUUAAACUAAAAUUACUUAAAACUGAAUAUAGAUUUCGAGUUGAACUAAAAUUACUUAAAACUCCUAACACAAUAAAAAAAAUACUUAAAACUGAAUUAAACUUAUUAGAAAAUUUCGGGUCAACCGGGUUUUGUUCGGGGUCGGGUUACCACCCCUAAAAUAUUUCUCUUUUUGCCAGGCUCAUGAAGAGAAAAUUUUCCACUACAAUGACAUUCUUCGUGAUAAAAAUUUGAACUCAUAUUGCAGGAGUCGCUCCAAGGGAACAACUCUCCAAAAAUAGGCGUAUGCCACUGUGAGUGGCGAGCACACGGUAUUCUUUAGUAAAAGGCGAAAGAAUAGUUCGCUUUGUGCUCACCACAUGGCUGCGUAAGUUUAAACAGCAUGGGAUAGUGCACACUUAUAACUGAGCGG
rnacentral:lncRNA from 1 species